GUCGAUCAUGUGAUGACAGAAAACAGGAACUCCUGUCUCGCGCUUCAUCAGCAGAAUGUCAACAUUUGGGAAGUAGUUCUAGUGAAAGGAACUUCAGAGCUUUGACACAAAAUCACUGCUGAACCAAGUGACAAUGGCAAAGAGGGAGAAAUGAGGCUGGGUCACAGCAUGCACUUGCAGAUAUGGGGUCCAUCUUCCUGCUCUGUGCCGUGUGUUUGUACAGAAAACCACACAGAUAUGCGGACACAUGCGAGCGCACAGAGCUCUUCUUUGUUGUGUUAUCUUGAAAGCUUGGCUUGUGGGGAAAGAUGACCGGAAAAAAAGCAAGCAGCUCUUCUCACAAACUGAUAAGAGACAUUUAAAGAAGAAGAGGAAAAUCAAUCUCUUUGUGUUCUCCUUCUUCUCCUCUAAUCCUGGUGCCAUGGACCAACCUCUGUUAGGACCAGCGUCCACCAGGCGCCGGGGCUGCUGCUCCUACAGCACCCUGAAGGCCUGGCUGCCCAUCCUGUCCUGGCUGCCCAAGUACAACCUGAAGUGGCUUCAGAUGGAUCUGCUGGCAGGCCUCACUGUUGGGUUGACAGCUGUACCACAAGUGCUUGCUUAUGCUGAAAUAGCCGGCCUUCCUGUGCAGUUUGGACUCUACUCUGCCUUCAUGGGGGGGUUCAUCUACAGCCUCCUGGGGACUUCUAAGGACAUAACACUGGGUCCCACAGCGAUUAUGUCCCUGCUGUGUUUCUCAGUGGUGGGUGGGCACCCAAACCAAGCCGUGCUGCUCAGUCUCCUAUGUGGACUCAUCCAGGCGGCUAUGGCGUUACUGAGAUUAGGUUUCCUGCUGGACUUCAUCUCUUACCCUGUAAUAAAAGGCUUCACCUGUGCCGCUGCCAUUACCAUUGGCUUUGGUCAGAUUAAGAAUAUUCUAGGACUGAAGGGUAUUCCCCAAGAGUUCUUCCAGCAGGUGUACUACACCUUCCACAAGAUUCCAGAGGCCAGGACGGGUGACGUGGUGCUGGGCCUGCUCUGUCUUGCUCUGCUCAUCAUGUUGUUGUUUAUGAAGAAGAAUCUGAGCCCUGCUGACCCUGACGACUCCACCUGCUCCAGAGUCGCCAGGAAACUAGUGUGGGCUGUCUCUACCAUGCGUAACGCCCUGGUGGUCAUGGCUGCGUCAUGUGUGGCUUAUUCGUGGGAUGCUUAUGGUUACAAUGUGUUCACAAUAACUGGGGAAACUUCCCGGGGGCUCCCUCCAUUCAGGCCUCCACCCACCACAGACACCACGGCCAACGGCACCGUCAUCUCCUUUGGAGAGAUUAUUGAGGGUUUUGGAGGAGGUCUGGCUGUGAUCCCCUUCAUGGGUCUGCUGGAGAGUAUUGCUAUAGCCAAAGCUUUUGCCAGUCAGAACGACUACAGAAUAGAUGCCAACCAGGAGCUGCUGGCCAUCGGUGUGACCAACAUCAUGGGCUCCUUUGUGUCCGCAUACCCUGUCACCGGCAGCUUUGGGAGGACAGCUGUGAACUCUCAGACUGGUGUUUGCUCUCCGGCUGGAGGAAUUGUCACAAGUCUGAUUGUGUUGCUCUCCCUGGCGUUCCUCAUGCAGGCCUUUUACUACAUCCCCAAAGCUUCUCUUGCUGCAGUUAUCAUCUGUGCAGUCGCUCCCAUGGUGGAUUAUCAUGUCGUAUUGAAGAUGUGGAGAAUACGCAAGCUGGACCUGCUGCCUUUUAUGGUCACGUUCCUGAUAAGUUUCUGGGAGGUGCAGUACGGCAUUGUUGGAGGUGUGGCUGUAUCAGGAGCCCUGCUGCUUUACAACAUGGCCAGACCCCAAAUAAAGUGUACCACACCGUGAUCCAGUACCCCAGAAUGCUCUCCACGGUGGCUCUGUAGAAGGCCAGAAGAAGCUUCUCCUCAGGAAGUGGAGUCGCUGCUGGGCCUUCUUUACCACCGCCGUGGUGUGAGCAGACCAGGAGACGUUGUCUGUGAUGUGGACGCCCAGGAAUUUGAAGGAGUGGACCCUUUCAACGCAGGCCCCAUUGAUGAUCAGUGGAGCCGGGUCCAUGCUGCGUUUUCGGAAGUCCAUGAUGAGUUCUUUUGUUUUUGUGGUGUUCAGUGAAAGGUUGUUCACAGAACACCACGCCGAAAGUUUUCCAACUUCAUCUCUGUAGGCCGACUCAUCUCCGCCUGAGAUGAGCCCGACCACGGUGGUAUCAUCAGCAAAUUUGAUGAUGGAGUUGGAGAGAUGGGUUGGUGUGCAGUCGUAUUUAUACAGAGAGUACAGGAGGGGACUCAGUUCACAUCCUUGCGGGGAGCCAGUGUUGAGUGUGAUGGUGGGGGAGAGGCGGGGGCCGAGUCUGAAAGUUUGUUGGCUGUCAGACAGGAAGUCCUUAACCCAACAGUAGAUGGAAGGGGAGAGACCAAGGUGGGAGAGCUUGCCAGUUAAAAUGUCCGGGAUUAUUGUAUUGAAGGCCGAGCUGUAAUCAACAAAAAGCAUCCUCACAUAAUUCCCCUGGUGUUCCAGGUGGCUGAGUGCAGUGUGAAGAGCUGCAGCGAUGGCAUCCUCAGUAGAGGGGUUUGCUCUAUAGGCGAACUGGUGGGGGUCCAGUGUGGCGGGAAGUGUGUCCUUGAUGUGGUUUGGGAUCAGCCUCUCAAAGCACUUCAUGAUCACAGGCGUAAGUGCGACAGGCCUGUAAUAAUUCAGACUGUCGAUGGCUGAUUUCUUGGGGACGGGAACAGUUGAAGAUAGAGGUGAAAACCCCGGUCAGCUGAUCCGCACAGGCUUUGAGUACCUUCCCAGGUACUCCAUCCGGGCCUGCAGCUUUCCUGGGGUUUACAGUCCUCAGUGCACGUCUCACUUCAUGUUCCUGAAGUAUCAGUGUGCUGCUACAGGAGGGUGGUUGAUGUGGUGUGACAAAAACAUGUGAACUAUGCCUUUAAGGUGUGUCAUUAGCAGUGGCAUUAACAUUUGACAUGUCAUUACUUAAAGAAGUUUGAAUGCAUCCAGAUGACUGAAUCGGGCUUCAGCCAGUCAGAGCUGCAAACUAAACACAGCGUGGAGGAGAAUUUAAAGAUUAUAUGCUGCCGCUCCUCGUUUUUAUAAUCCAAAACACACCAAACAGUUGACUGAUUACUUAUGACCUUCAUACAUCUGUGAUUGUCUGGGCAUUUUUCAGACUUAAUCUAAUCAGAAACUAACCUUGUAGGGUUGUUGUAAAUUAACGAGCACAAAUGUUUGAAUAGUUUGCCUAAAAUUUCCCCUCAAGUCCAUGAGGCUCAUUUUUUAGGUGAUUUAUUCCUCCAAAAAGAGCAUAGUCAAAUGGAGUGAGUAGCCCCGGCAGUGCAUUAAGAAUCAGGGAUAAAUGAUCAUUUAUCUAAAAGACUGAAGUCAACAAUCAGAGGGUUGAACGACAGCAGAGCCCUGAGGAGAAGUGGGUGAAAACACUAGUAACAGAGAUUUGCUUGUCAGACAUUGAAUCCUCAGUGAUAUCUAAUGGUGCUGAGUGCCUCGACUUCAUGUGUCUGUCGUUCUCAGGUGUCUGAUCACGGUGUGCUGGUGAUGGAGUUGGGCAGCGGACUCAGCUUUCCUGCCACAGAGUACCUCAGCCGCAUUGUGCACACUCAGGCUCUGCAGGCGUCUCCCCCGCGGUCGGUGGUCUUGGAUUGCCAUCACGUCAGCAUCAUCGAUUACUCGGUGAUCAGCGAGCUCAGGGACCUGCUGAGGCAGUUCAAACUACGAGAAGAGCAACUGAUCUUUUCCAGAGUGCGGCCCGCUGUUCUGGAUGCGCUCCUGGCCGCUGAUCUGGAGGGCUUCAGGUGCACACAAACUGUGGAGGAAGCACUGCAAAUUGAAUCGGGGAGCCUCCUCAAAGAGCAGUGACCUUGCCGUAUCGGGAUUAUUUGGCAGUCAUGAAGUUGAACAGUUAAUAAGUACCUCAAAUAACUGACUGUUGGACCCGUGUUGCAGCGAGUUGCCAAAUCAGGUCGCUCUUCCGUGGCAGGACGUGUUUUUGUGCCAAACUCGGGAACCUUUGUGGAACCUUUGACAUUCCAACACUACACAUCGUGAUCGCACAAAGACCCUGCACCAGAGGUCUGCUCCGUGUUUGUAGCAUUUUACAGGUUUUAUACACUUUGAGGGACUCGGUUUGAAUGACAAAGACAAUAACUAGAGAAAUUAUAUAACAAAUGUUCAUGUUUUUUUAAGUUAAAGUGACUUCCUUGUGUUGUGUUUUUGUGCUGCAGGUAAUAGGUUAGCUUCAAGAGACCAAAUCUGAAUACAAGGAAAAAGAACAGGGGUGAUAAAUAUUUCAUUAGUUCUUCAGGGAGGGCCUCACGCGGAGAAGGGUGUUAUUCAUUAGCAGAGAAUCAGUGUCAGAGUGCAGGCUGGUUCUCGAAUAAUACCAAUAUAAUAAAUCCAGAGGGUGUUUUAUUUAUGAUGUUUUAAGAUAUUAGGCUAUAUCUGUGUUUACAUUUUAAUUAAGUUAGAUCAAUGUGAAGAGAUUCAUUUCAACAGUUAGAGCGAGAACUCCUCACAGGCACGGCAUCAGUCACAAAGUAACUUGUUGGUUUUAUUAAACCAUUAAGAAUCUCAAUCAUAAGAUUUUCAAUACGAGCAACAAGUCAACAUAACAUCUGUCAGGAAUAAUGUUUCUGUCUUGUUACCACGCCUAGUGUAAAUGUACGAUGAUUCAAUCUGUUAUAUAGCAGCACAGUCUCAAAGCAAGGUGUCACUUUCAAAAUACCUCAGUUGACAUGCGUAUUCAUCAAUCUCUGACCCUGUAAUCCGUCAACUGUUUCUAGCUUUAAUAUUUAUUUACCAGGCUGUUGCACCUCUCAGAAAAGUAAACAGAUCAGAGACCUGUUCAAUUAAUCACUUAAAAAAGGAAAGGAACAAAUAUUUACAACAGCACACCUGAUUGGAAGAGUCAGAGGAUGAUUUUCUUUCUUCCCUCUUGUGCUAAACAAACACAACCAUGCAAUGAAGGAUAUAAAAACACUUCAGUUUGAUCUGUUCCUUUAAUUAUUUAAUUCUAAGUUUUUACAUAUGGAGCAUUUUCUUCCCCCCAGCCUUCAAAAUGUAUCUUGGGAAACUGACUUUGGUGUAAAUGCACUUUUAAAUAAGAUUUAUAAAUGCACUAAUUGGA